rnacentral:rRNA from 1 species
GAUGGUGGUUAUAGCGGUGAGGUGACACCUGUUCCCAUCCCGAUCCGGCAGCUGCCGGAUAAGCUCACCUGCGCCGAUGGUACUGGUCUGGUAACGGUUCGGAAGAGUAUGACACCACCAUCA